rnacentral:rRNA from 1 species
GACAGAGGUGCCAAGCGUUAGGCGGAAUCACUGGGCUUAAAGCGUGUGUAGGCGGAUCGUUAAGUACCUUGUGAAAUCCCAUGGCUUAACCAUGGAACUGCUUGGUAUACUGGCGGUCUUGAGCCACUUAGGGGCUACCGGAACAAAUGGUGGAGCGGUGAAAUGCGUAGAUAUCAUUUGGAACGCCAAUGGUGAAAACAGGUAGCUGGGAGUGUGCUGACGCUGAGACACGAAAGCGUGGGUAGCAAACAGG